rnacentral:rRNA from 1 species
UACGGAGGGGGCAAGCGUUGUCCGGACUUACUGGGCGUAAAGGGUGCGUAGGCGGCCUGCUGCGUCGGUGCUGAAAGCGCCCGGCUUAACCGGGCGGAGGCGUGCCGAUACGGGCGGGCUGGGAGCCUUGGCGAGGGUGGCGGGAACUCCUGGUGUAGUGGGUGAAAUGCGUAGAGAUCAGGAAGAACACCCGUGGCGCAAGCGGCCACCUGGCCAAGAGCUGACGCUGAGGCGCGACAGCGUGGGGAG